CACCGCUGCAAGAGGGGAAGUUGCUACUGUGAUGAAUUCUGCCAUGUGGCACCAGACUGCCACCCAGACCACAGUGUCCUCUGCAACCCUGGUCAAAGGUGCCUACAUGCUCCUUCUAGCUUUGUUUCCCUGAUGUUCCUUGCCACCUGCUACUCCUCUCUGAGCUACUUUUCCAGGUUCCACAGGGAGAGGUUCAGCUGUCCGUGGUAGACAUGAGGGUAGAGAAUGAGGUGGUUGGGUUCCACUUACCUUUCUAUCAUCUUGCAGUAUGGAUGUCUCUUGACUGGUACCGUGUAGACUUUUGAGGGCACACAGGAGUCUGCAGAGAGAUACUGGGGACAUUGAGCAGCAGCAGUGGGGUUGGGAGGCAGAAAUGAGGACAGGAACAUUUACCUUGUGUUUCUCUCAGCUUCUCAGAUGACCAAGAUGGUGCUGCAGAUGGUGCUGAGGAUGGAGAACCCACCAAGCCCCGCUAGGAGCCACCUAGACUGGAUGCAGAGCAUGGUUCAGCGAGUUCUCCAAACCAGCCUCCCAGGAAUGCCAUUCACCAUGGCUGUGAGGAGAAUAAAGAAGAGAGCCUGACUCCUCUUCUGAGGCCCCUUCCCCACCCUGAGCCAGCAGGAUCCACGGAGCAGAGGUCAUCUGUCCCCAGCUUGGCCCACUGAGGCCAGCAUGGCUGGGCCCAGGAUGCUUGUCUCUCAGCUCCCAUCCUGUGUACUUCCACAUUGGUUU
ensembl:lncRNA MUC20-OT1 MUC20 overlapping transcript